rnacentral:rRNA from 1 species
CGGAGGCAGCAGUGGGGAAUCUUGCGCAAUGGCCGAAAGGCUGACGCAGCGACGCCGCGUGUGGGAGGAAGCUCUUCGGGGUGUAAACCACUGUUGCCCGGGACGAACACUUGGUUUCGACCAAGCUGACGGUACCGGGUGAGGAAGCACCGGCUAACUCUGUGCCAGCAGCCGCGGUAAUACAGAGGGUGCGAGCGUUGUCCGGAAUCACUGGGCGUAAAGGGCGCGUAGGUGGUGGCUUAAGCGUGCGGUGAAAGCUCGGAGCUCAACUCCGAGUCGGCCGUGCGAACUGGGCUCACUGGAGCAUAGUAGAGGCAGGUGGAAUUCCGGGUGUAGCGGUGGAAUGCGUAGAGAUCCGGAAGAACACCGGUGGCGAAGGCGGCCUGCUGGGCUAUGGCUGACACUGAGGCGCGACAGCGUGGGGAGCAAACAGGAUUAGAUACCCCGGUAGC